GUGCUCACUUCGGCAGCACAUAUACUAAAAUUGGAACAAUACAGAAGAGAUUAUACAAAGAUGACAAGCAAAUUCGUGAAGUGUUCCCUGUUUUU
rnacentral:snRNA from 1 species